rnacentral:rRNA from 1 species
UACUAGAGUAGCACUCGCAUAUCAAUAAGCGGAGGAAAAGAAACUAACAAGGAUUCCCCUAGUAACGGCGAGUGAAGCGGGAAGAGCUCAAAUUCGAAAUCUUAAAGGGUUUCCCUUUACGAAUUGUAGUUUAAAGAAGUGUUUUCUGUUGAGGUUUUGGUAAAAGUUCUUUGGAAUAGGACAUCAUAGAGGGUGAGAAUCCCGUAUUUGACCUUUACUUUCAACUUUGUGAUACACUUUCAAAGAGUCGGAUUGUUUGGGAAUGCAGUCCAAAAUGGGUGGUAAAUUUCAUCUAAAGCUAAAUAUUGGCGAGAGACCGAUAGCGAACAAGUACCGUGAGGGAAAGAUGAAAAGAACUUUGAAAAGAGAGUCAAACAGUACGUGAAAUUGUCAAAAGGGAAGCGUUUGACACCAGUGUUGUUUUUCUGAAAAUCAAUUAGAGAACUGUUUAUGCUAAGUUGUUUAGACUUUAUCAGCUAAUCUGUUUAGUUUUGAGCUUUUCUUUAAUGCACUUUUCAGUUAACAAGUCAACAUCAAUUUCUUUUGCUGUAAAAAAGCUUGAGGAAGGUGGCUUGAGAUUCGUCUUAAGUGUUUAUAGCCUCUUGCCUAUGCAGUCGGAGAGAUUGAGGUCUGCAGCGUAGAUCCUUCGGGGCUAAAUGCAUUUGUGCUAAGUUAUAGCAUUUUAUAGACAACUUGUUGACUAUGAUUUGUCUUGUAGCUUACUCGCUUAUGUUAUUUUACCUACGCUUAGGAUGUUGAGUAGCGACAUACGCAC